GGAUGAACGCUGGCGGCGUGCCUAAUACAUGCAAGUCGAGCGAACAGACGAGGAGCUUGCUCCUAUGACGUUAGCGGCGGACGGGUGAGUAACACGUGGAUAACCUACCUAUAAGACUGGGAUAACUUCGGGAAACCGGAGCUAAUACCGGAUAAUAUAUUGAACCGCAUGGUUCAAUAGUGAAAGACGGUUUUGCUGUCACUUAUAGAUGGAUCCGCGCCGCAUUAGCUAGUUGGUAAGGUAACGGCUUACCAAGGCAACGAUGCGUAGCCGACCUGAGAGGGUGAUCGGCCACACUGGAACAGAGACACGGUCCAGACGCCUACGGGAGGCAGAAGUAGGGAAUCGUCGGAAAUGGGCGAAAGCCUGACGGAGCAACGCCGCGUGAGUGAUGAAGGUCUUCGGAUCGUAAAACUCUGUUAUUAGGGAAGAACAAAUGUGUAAGUAACUAUGCAGGUCUUGACGGUACCUAAUCAGAAAGCCACGGCUAACUACGUG
rnacentral:rRNA from 1 species